ensembl:snRNA U6 U6 spliceosomal RNA
AUGCUCAUUUUGGUAGUACAUCUACUAAAACUGGGAAGAUUAGCAUGACCCCUGCACAAGGAUGACACACAAAUUUUGAAGCACUCUAUAUUUUU